CGAAGGUGGAGUUCAGAAACCACUUAAAUAAACGAGGAGUUCCUGAAAAUCCUAAAGAGUAAGAAAACA
rfam:Flavobacterium sp. ov086 genome assembly, contig: Ga0070134_118